rnacentral:tRNA from 1 species
GGGGCCAUAGGGUAGCCUGGUUAUCCUUGGGGACUGGGGGUCCUCAGACCCGAGUUCAAAUCUCGGUGGCCCCA